UGGAAUCUUGUCAGAAAGGGUUUCAGAUUGUUUACCUUGCGCAGGACUGGCCUUAGGGGACUCCUUGUGCGCAAAACUGGACUGCAGAAGAGGAUUGGCGGGUGAGCUUUGCGUUGGGAGCUGAAGAGUUGCGCAUGAAGGUGUUUCAGAUGGCGCAAGGCUCUUCUGCGCAUCCUUCUGGAGGGAGUUUCCCUCAUUCUGUG
rnacentral:lncRNA from 1 species